rnacentral:rRNA from 1 species
GUGAACGCUGGCGGUAGGCCUAACACAUGCAAGUCGAACGGCAGCACCGUAAGAGCUUGCUCUUACGGGUGGCGAGUGGCGGACGGGUGCGGAAUACAUCGGAAUCUACUUUUUCGUGGGGGAUAACGUAGGGAAACUUACGCUAAUACCGCAUACGACCUACGGGUGAAAGCAGGGGAUCUUCGGACCUUGCGCGAUUGAAUGAGCCGAUGUCGGAUUAGCUAGUUGGGGGGGUAACGGCCCACCAAGGCGACGAUCCGUAGCUGGUCUGAGAGGAUGAUCAGCCGCACUGGAACUGAGCCACGGACCAGACUCCUAAGGGAGGCAGCAGUGGGGAAUAUUGGACAAUGGGCGCAAGCCUGAUCCAGCCAUACCGCGUGUGUGAAGAAGGCCUUCGGGUUGUAAAGCCCUUUUGUUGGGAAAGAAAAGCAGCAGGUUAAUACCCCGCUGUUCUGACGGUACCCAAAGAAUAAGCACCGGCUAACUUCGUG